GGUUAAGCGACUAAGCGUACACGGUGGAUGCCCUGGCAGUCAGAGGCGAUGAAGGACGUGCUAAUCUGCGAUAAGCGUCGGUAAGGUGAUAUGAACCGUUAUAACCGGCGAUUUCCGAAUGGGGAAACCCAGUGUGAUUCGUCACACUAUCAUUAACUGAAUCCAUAGGUUAAUGAGGCGAACCGGGGGAACUGAAACAUCUAAGUACCCCGAGGAAAAGAAAUCAACCGAGAUUCCCCCAGUAGCGGCGAGCGAACGGGGAGCAGCCCAGAGCCGGAAUCAGGGUGUGUGUUAGGGGAAGCGUCUGGAAAGGCGUGCGAUACAGGGUGACAGCCC
rnacentral:rRNA from 1 species